CCCUCUGCUGCGUGGUCGUUCGUUCUUUCGCUCCUUCGUUCGUUCGUUCGUUCGUUCGUAAGUACGUACAUACGUUCGGUCGGUCUGUCGGUUAUAUCGUCGUCGUUGUCGUCGCUGCUGUCGUUGUCGUCGUCGUCGUCGUCAUCAUCGGAGAAGCGUACAUAGCGGCCGCUGCCGUACGGGACGCCACCGCCGGGAGAGAGCCAACGGGCGUGGACUGGAGCGAUACAUCGACGCGUUUCACCCGUUACGCGGGCACUUUGUCAUCGCUCGACUGUAUUUAAAUUAACUGACAGAUAAAUUGACCGGAAAGAGAAACGACCGAAGCAGCUUUUACUCGUUCAACGUAAUUUCCACGAAUCAAGGAUGAAUCGUGGAAAUGAACUAAGAGCCGAAUAAAAACAAAAAUGGGGGUUGACACGCGUCUCGCUUGAAUCACGUUGGAUCGAAGCGACGGGGCGACGAUGAUGCGACGACGAGGCGACGACGGUACGACGGCGGUGAUGGCGGGGGCGGGGGCGGCGGCGGCGUCGGUGGAGGCGGCGACGGCAGCGGCAGGUUCCUUUUGUACGCUCGAUCCAUUGUACUCGACAAACACCACGAACGAACAAACCCCGUGCUGCAUUUUCUCUGCGCGUGAAAAUGCGCUUCCUUCUCGUAUAGUCCUCGAAAAAAAUCCUCGUAAGUUUUUCUUACGAUUUUCCGAACUAUUAAAGCGAAUAAUCCAAUGCGAUCGUGAAACUUGUUAAAAAAAAAAAAAAAAAAAAAAAAAAGAAAGAAAAGAAAAAAUCUUUUCUUUCCACUUCCCCCUCCCCUCCCACUUCUUUUAAAUUACGCCCAACUCGAAAAUUCUUUUUUUAAUUUCGUCCUUCGAAGGUAUUAAUAUUUUCCCGGAAUUUCUACUUAAUUUUACGACGAUGUAAAACUCUAAA